UACAUAACAGCCCGCAGUGAGUUGUGA
rnacentral:sRNA from 1 species